rnacentral:rRNA from 1 species
AUUGAACGCUGGCGGCAGGCCUAACACAUGCAAGUCGAACGAGUGGCGGACGGGUGAGUAAUGUCUGGGAAACUGCCUGAUGGAGGGGGAUAACUACUGGAAACGGUAGCUAAUACCGCAUACCAUCGGAUGUGCCCAGAUGGGAUUAGCUAGUAGGUGGGGUAAAGGCUCACCUAGGCGACGAUCCCUAGCUGGUCUGAGAGGAUGACCAGCAACACUGGGACUGAGACACGGUCCAGACUCCUACGUGAGGCAGCAGUGGGGAAUUUUGCACAAUGGGCGCAAGCCUGAUGCAGCCAUGCCGCGUGUAUGAAGAAGGCCUUCGGGUUGUAAAGUACUUUUGGCGGGGAAGCGUUACCCGCAGAAUAAGCACCGGCUAACUCCGUGCCAGCAGCCGCGGUAAUAC